rnacentral:rRNA from 1 species
UCGGGAAUUUUGGGCAAUGGGGGAAACCCUGACCCAGCAACGCCGCGUGAAGGAUGAAGUAUUUCGGUAUGUAAACUUCGAAAGAAUAGGAAGAAUAAAUGACGGUACUAUUUAUAAGGUCCGGCAAACUUCGUGCCAGCAGCCGCGGUAAUACGAAGGGGGCUAGCGUUGUUCGGAAUUACUGGGCGUAAAGCGCACGUAGGCGGAUUGUUAAGUCAGAGGUGAAAUCCCGGAGCUCAACUUCGGAACUGCCUUUGAUACUGGCAAUCUAGAGUCCGGAAGAGGUUAGUGGAAUUCCCAGUGUAGAGGUGAAAUUCGUAGAUAUUGGGAAGAACACCAGUGGCGAAGGCGGCUAACUGGUCCGGUACUGACGCUGAGGUGCGAAAGCGUGGGGAGCAAACAGGAUUAGAUACCCAUGUAGUCCCUGAGCGGGCUGGCAAGGCGCAU